GGGAGUUCCCCUGCACAAGCUCUCUUGUCUGCUGCCAUGUAAGACAUCCCUUUACUCUUCCUUGUCUUCUGCCAUGAUUAUGAAGCCUCCCCAGCUGUGUAGAACUAACCACCGUGAGAACAGCUGGUACUCAUGGACCAGUGGCAGCUGGAUGACCCGCAGUCGCCAUCCACUGAAUCCUUCCAGGAACACCUGCACGUGGAAGCAGAAGAAGAAGAAAAAGAAGAAAUGCUGAGAUGCUGAAGAUAAGAUGGAAAUAAGUCUGACCUGAGCGAAUUACUUUACUGUCCUUUGGAGUUUCUUGAAAAUAAAAUGUAUUCAUUUGAAGUGUAAUGGGCUUUUCCUUAACCAAAACUUCUGGCCAUUGAUUUGUGUAAAGAAAAGCCGUGCACAGGCUCAACUGAGGAAUAAAAGUUGUUUCAGAGUCGUAAGUCUUCUGAGUAAAAUCAUGUUGUUGUGACUUUUUACCUAUCCAUGUAACAUUCCA
rnacentral:lncRNA from 10 species